GGAUUGACGUGACGGUCGUGCCUUACGGGGCAUGAACUGUCGCCGUUGAUUUCUCACCUUCUGGAGAAGCUCGAUGUCCUUAAUUGGGUGUCUUGCGGAACCAGGACCUUUACUUUGAAAAAUUAGAGUGUUUAAAGCAGGCAUUUUUGCUUGAAUUCAUUAGCAUGGAAUAAUAAAAUAGGGCGGCAUGGUUCUAUUUUGUUGGUUUCUAGGACCGCCGUAAUG
rnacentral:rRNA from 1 species